rnacentral:rRNA from 1 species
AUAUUUUUUUUUUGUUUAAAAAUUUUUUUUCAAAAAAGAGUUAGUUUUAAGUUUUAAAUAUAGUUUGAUUGUACUGUUAAGGAUAGAAAGUUUAGGUUAAGAAUAGGUGAAAAUUUUUAUCUUUUGUAUCAUAGUAGAUCUAAAAAUGAAUAAUGUUUUAUUUCUAGAAAAAAAAAGAAACCUAGAUUAAUGAGAAGAUCUUAAGAGUGCAUAUAAAAAUAUGUUUUUUAUAUUUUUGGGUUGAAAUGAGAUGUUUCGAUUUUUUUGAUAGCUAGUUGUUUUUUAUUUCUUUUUAGAGAAUUAGAAAAUGGGGGUAAGCUCUUUUUUUAAAGACAAAGGUUUUUUUUUGUUAAUUUAUAGAAUUGAAAGUUUUUUUUAUUUGUUAAUGUGUAAUAAUUUAUAGAAAAUUUUUUACUUUUCUUAGUUUGAAAAACUAUUUGUUAAAUUUGAUUGUUUAAAAAAUAAUGUUUUAAUUAGUAUUAUUUUAUAUUUUUUUUUAUGAACUCGGCAAUAAAGUUUCUGACUGUUUUCAAAAACAUAGUUUUUUGGAUUUUUAUUAAAAAUGUUUUCUGCUCGGUGAUUUUUAACAGCCGCGGUAUUUUGACCGUGCAAAGGUAGCAUAAUCAUUUGCUUCGUAAUUGGGGGCUAGUAUGAAAGGAAUAACAAGAUACUUGCUUUAUUUAAAAAAUGAUAAUAAUUUGCCUUUUUGGUGAAGAGGCUAAAAUUUGGCUAAAAGACAAGAAGACCCUUUUGAGUUUUAUUUUUUUUUUUUUUAGUAAAUUUUGAAAAUUUGGUUGGGGCGACCGAGGAAAAAAAAAUCUUCCUUUUUUUUAUUUAAAUCCAGGGAUUUUGACUAAAAAAUUAAAUUACCAAAGGGAUAACAGCGUUAUUUUUUUUGAGAGUUCUUAUCGAAAAUUAAGAUUGCGACCUCGAUGUUGACUUAUAGUUUCCUUUAGAUGCAGGUGUUUGUAGGGUGGGUCUGUUCGACCUUUAAAACUUUACGUGAGUUGAGUUCAGACCGGCGUGAGCCAGGUUGGUUUCUAUCUUUAGUUUUUAAUUUUGUUUUUUAGUACGAAAGGACCAAAAACAAGUUUUUGU